rnacentral:rRNA from 1 species
CNGUAAACGAUGAGUGNUAAGUGUUAGGGGGUUUCCGCCCNUUAGUGCUGCAGCUAACGCAUUAAGCACUCCGCNUGGGGAGUACGGUCGCAAGACUGAAACUCAAAGGAAUUGACGGGGGCCCGCACAAGCGGUGGAGCAUGUGGCACCCNUAGANAUAGGGUUUCCCNUUNGGGGACANAGUNACAGGUGGNNCAUGGUUGUCGNCAGCUCGUGUCGUAAAAUGUUGGGUUAAGUCCCNCAACGAGCGCAACCCUUNAUCUUAGUUGCCAGCAUUCAGUUGGGCACUCUAAGGUGACUGCCGGUGACAAACCGAAGNAAGGUGGGNAUGACGUCAAAUCNUCAUGCCCCUUAUGACCUGGGCUACACACGUGCUACAAUGGACAGAACAAAGGGCUGCGAGACCGCAAGGUUUAGCCAAUCCCACAAAUCUGUUCUACAGUUCGGAUCGCANUCUGCAACUCGACUGCGUGAAGCUGGAAUCGGGUAGUAAUCGCGNANCAGCAUGCCGC